UACGUAGGGGGCAAGCGUUGUCCGGAUUUAUUGGGCGUAAAGAGCGUGUAGGCGGCCAGGUAGGUCAGCUGUGAAAACUCGAGGCUCAACCUCGAGACGCCGGUUGAAACCAUCUGGCUAGAGUCCGGAAGAGGAGAGUGGAAUUCCUGGUGUAGCGGUGAAAUGCGCAGAUAUCAGGAAGAACACCCGUGGCUAAGGCGGGUCUCUGGGCCGAUAUUGACGCUGAGGAGCGAAAGCGUGGGUAGCAAACAGG
rnacentral:rRNA from 1 species